rnacentral:rRNA from 1 species
CCGGGAUUGCCCCAGUAACGGCGAAGUGAAGCGGCAACAGCUCAAAUUUGAAAUCUGGCUCCUUCGGGGUCCGAGUUGUAAUUUGGAGAGGAUGUUUCGGGCGCGGUGCCGGUCUAAGUCCCUUGGAACAGGGCGUCACAGAGGGUGAGAAUCCCGUAUGUGACCGGUGACCAACCCCAGGUGAAACGCCUUCGACGAGUCGAGUUGUUUGGGAAUGCAGCUCAAAAUGGGUGGUAAAUUUCAUCUAAAGCUAAAUAUUGGCCAGAGACCGAUAGCGCACAAGUAGAGUGAUCGAAAGAUGAAAAGCACUUUGGAAAGAGAGUCAAACAGUACGUGAAAUUGUUGAAAGGGAAGCGCUUGGCACCAGACCUGCCUGCGGGCGAUCAACGGCCGGUCGCUCGGUCGUGUACUCGUCCGUCAGCAGGCCAGCAUCGGUUUGGGCGGUUGGAUAAAGGCCGUGGGAAUGUGGCUCCCCUCGGGGUGUGUUAUAGCCCACGGCGGAAUACGGCCAGCCUGGACUGAGGACCGCGCCUUCGGGCUAGGAUGCUGGCAUA